AUGAAGCAAAGGCAGGCGGGUCGCGGGAACAGCUACAGCGCCAGCCGCAUCAGGUUAUGCAACCAGUGGGUGCAGCUCAACUAGGUGCACAACCAGACGGUGGAGUGAAAGCUGCCAGGAGAUCACGUGGACUCUCCCCCAGUGGACAAAUACCACGUGAGCUCUCCUUGAACCCGACCCCUGUGGCGAUAAUUGCGGUCGCCCUCAUGGCUCUGUUUGCCGUCUCUCUCAGCGUCUUGGUCUUCCGGGCGUUCCCCAGGUCCAAUGCCACGUGCCUCAGUCGGGCAUGCGUGGAGGUGAGAAUCCCGCGAACCCUUUUUUCUUCACUCUUUUUUUUUCCCACGCUGCU